CCGCACCCCGCACCUGCGAGUCGCCCCCGGACUGUCGGACCUGGAGGACGGCCUGGAGGAUGGCCUGGCCUCUAUUUCCCCCCGAGAUGGCAGCGUGCCCUGCACACAGUGGGUGCUCAAUAAAUUAGAAAAAAAUAGUCUUAUUGGCGGGCGCCUGGGUGGCUCAGUGGCUCAACCAAUCCUUGAUUUCCGCUUGGGCCGCGGCCUCCCGGUGGGGGUGACGCGUGGCCUGGGGCUCCGCGCUGGGGGGGCCGCUCCAGAUUCUCUCUCUCUCUCCCUCUACCCCCUCCCAUUCUCUCUCAAAUAAAUAAAACCUUAAAAAAAAAAACAAAAACCCGGCCUUAUUGUGAGAUAACUCACUGACCACACCAUCCACCUAAGUAGAGUGUACGGUUCUGGGGUUUCUAGGAUCCUUACAGAGUCGCGCCAACAUCACGACCGAAGGACAUUUUCAUCACCCCAAAAUGCAACUCUCUGGCUCUGCCUGUACUGCCCCCCCACCAUCCCCUCAGCCCUGAGCAACCCUUAGUGACUUUCUCCAUAGAUUUCCCUAUUCUGGGCUUUCUUGUGGUUGGAAUCAUAUAAUAUGUGGACUUUGGUGACUGGCUUCUUCCACCUAGCUCGGUGUUUUCGAGGUUCAGAGCAACACUUUUUUGCUGUGUGAAUGAAUGAGGCUACGGAAGCAAGGGGAGGGCGCUCUCCUGGCGCGCUGGCGGCCAGCUGGAGGAAGGACACCCCGGGUGGACAUCCACAUCUCAUGGCGGGGCUGUGGCCUGGCUGCCCUGGGGACGCGGGACUGUCUUCAGCUCAAGGCCAACCUUUACUUUGGGGUUUUUCCAUUGAUUGAUUCGCUCAUUCCACAGAAAUGCACAGUGAUGACCUACCAAGCUUUCUCUCAUAAAUGAACACACUACUUUUAAAAAGUCAGUUAAAGUGGACAGAAGCUUGCUUUCCAGAAGGUCAGUCCUGCAGAGGCCUCGGCCUCCCGAUGUGCGCCUGACCUUCCUGCUUGGGGUGGCUCACAGGCAGCUCUGAGGCGGCCUCUCAAUGUCCACAUCGAAGCAAAAGCCCUUUUACUGCCGUGUGAGGCUGUUCCAAGUCCUGCACACCUGCUGCUCUCCACCUCCUGCCAUGCUGCCACUUCCCCUGCUCUGGGUUUACAGAAAUUCUGGACUGUGCUGUCCGCGUGAGGGCCACGGGCCAAACACGGCUGCUGCUGAGCGCUUGAGCUGGGACCGGUCCCACCUGAGAUGUGCUGGACAUGCCAAGUACAGAAGACUUUGUGCAGAAAACAAAGAGUGUGAAAUAUCUCAAUAAUUUUUAUAUUGACGUGUUGAAAUGAUAUUUGGGAUUUGCCUAGUUUGGAUAUUUCCUAAAAAUGGAAUCAAACAAUAUGUGGCCUUUUGUGUCUGGUUUACUCGGCAUAACAUUUUCAAGAUUCAUCCAUGUUGCAGUGUGUAUCCACACUUCAUUCCUUCUUACAGAUGGGGAGCUGAAGCCAGAAGAUACAUUCACCUGGAACAUGUGACUGUGAACUUAUUUGUAUAAAGAUCUUUGCAGAUGUGGUCACACUGAGGAGCUGUCCGUGAGGUCAUCCUGGGUCAUCAUCCAGGUGGGCCUUAAAUCC